ACGGAGGGUCCGAGCGUUAUCCGGAUUUAUUGGGUUUAAAGGGUGCGUAGGCGGUUUUAUAAGUCAGCGGUGAAAUUUUCCGGCUCAACCGGGAUACUGCCGUUGAUACUGUAAGACUUGAAUAUGGUUGCUGUGGGUGGAAUGUGUGGUGUAGCGGUGAAAUGCUUAGAUAUGACACAGAAUACCGAUUGCGAAGGCAGCUCACAAAAUUGUAAUUGACGCUGAGGUGCUAAAGUGUGUGGAUCAAACAG
rnacentral:rRNA from 1 species